rnacentral:lncRNA from 1 species
GUUUGAGGAGGUACUUCAUAGUAAGUGCUGUCUUCUUUGGUUGUCAUGAGAGCUUCUAUGAUUUGCACUGAUUAAUGUAAUCACUGGCUGCUGCGAUCUUUCUUUCCAGAGAGAAACUUGAAGAUACCUAGAUAUUGUCCGAAGCACUUCUCGAUCUCAUAAUGGUGAUUGGCUGACAAAAAGUUCCAGAUGAAAUGCUAAAGGUGAAUUCUUCAAGUUGGUUAAGAGAUGCAACCUACAGGGUUUGUUAUUGCUGCACCAGUUGUUUCAUAUAUUAUUUAUCUUCAUAAUUUUUUGGGUGGUUACUUGUAUACUCAUUUAUCAACUAAACAAAUUAAUUUAAUACCUUCCAAAUUUUAUAGUUUUUUGAUUUCCAACGAACCCUAUUGCUUUAAUCUUUAGUUCCCCUACAUUAUAUCCAUUGUCUAAGUUGAAGACAACAUCGAUGCAUUCCAUCGGAGUACGAUUUUCCAUCUUAAUCA